rnacentral:rRNA from 1 species
GACCUCGGAUCAGGUAGGGAUACCCGCUGAACUUAAGCAUAUCAAUAAGCGGAGGAAAAGAAACCAACAGGGAUUGCCUCAGUAACGGCGAGUGAAGCGGCAACAGCUCAAAUUUGAAAUCUGGCUCUUUCAGGGUCCGAGUUGUAAUUUGUAGAAGAUGCUUUGGGUGUGGCUCCGGUCUAAGUUCCUUGGAACAGGACGUCAUAGAGGGUGAGAAUCCCGUAUGUGACUGGUUGCCUUCGCCCGUGUAAAGCUCUUUCGACGAGUCGAGUUGUUUGGGAAUGCAGCUCAAAAUGGGUGGUAAAUUUCAUCUAAAGCUAAAUAUUGGCCAGAGACCGAUAGCGCACAAGUAGAGUGAUCGAAAGAUGAAAAGCACUUUGGAAAGAGAGUUAAACAGUACGUGAAAUUGUUGAAAGGGAAGCGCUUGCAACCAG